AAAGAAUUUUUUUUGCUACUAUUUUAGUUGGUCUAAUCAAAGAUUGCCUCUACCCAAGAGUUUUGUCUGCUUCUAAUGACAGUUACAUUUCUAAGUCCCAUAUUUAUUAAUAGGCAAAUAGACAUCAAAGUACAUUGGAAUAGACUGAAGCAAAAAACUGAGCUUAUUUCAAUAUAAGCAAUACUUUAAUUGAAAUAAUACCGUAUCAUAAAGCAGUAUAAUCAUGUUCUCCUCUUAAAAUUGAAUUUUAGAAAACAAACUGAAGUUCUAAAGGGAAGCUGAGAGAGAGAGAGUGUGUGUGUGUGUGUGUGUAACAUUUUCUACAUUAAUAGUGAGACCAGAAUAAUUUAUCACCAUUAUGUUGUCAUGAUCUUUAAAAGUUGCUUAAAAAUGCCAAAUAUGGGGCCAAAUAUGUGUAAAGUUUUAACAUUGUCUAGUACCUUAGUUCAGAUACGUUAUAGGAACUAGUGACAUUUUUAGAUUUCGAGACAAAACAAUACAUGAAUAAUUCUGCCUUUGACAAAAUUGUAUAAAGGUUUUCUAAUUAUCUAAUGGGAAGGAGGUGAAUUAUGAAAAGUUUUCAACUUUGUACUUUGAGAAAUUAAACAUCUUACUGUUAAUGCUUUAAUUCUUGUUCACAUUUAGUGGUAGUAUAUAUGGCAUAAUGAAUAUACCUCCUCAUGCGCAGAUAUUUAACAGGAAAUCUAAAAGGAACUAUUUGUUCUAUUCAUUACUAUUUGUUUUGACUGUCUUCUAUGACUGAUUUCUCUCAGUAUAUGGAUUUAGUAGUUUCUUCUCCUCUGGUAGAAUUUUCAUAGGUGCAAAAAAAAAAGUUCAAGCCAAUUAACAUAGCUUACUUGAGACAAACUUUUACUUCUGCUUUCAAGACCUCAAAUCAGGAAGGAACUUCCUUAGCUCAUGGUAACAUAACCUGCUUGUUCUGAUAUUACAGUAUUAAAUUGUUUUUUGUAUUUUCA